rnacentral:rRNA from 1 species
GCAGUCGAGCGGCCCUUCGCAAGGAGGGCAGCGGCGGACGGGUGAGGAACACGUGAGUAACCGACCGGCGGGUGGGGGAUAUCGGGCCGAAAGGCGCGGCAAUCCCGCAUACGGCCCCGGGGGGCAGGGCCCCGGGGGGAAAGUCUCGGCGACGAGACGCCCGCUGCCGGGCUCGCGGCCCAUUAGCUGGUUGGGGGGGUAACGGCCUCCCAAGGCGACGAUGGGUAGCCGGCCUGAGAGGGUGACCGGCCACACUGGGACUGAGACACGGCCCAGACUCCUACGGGAGGCAGCAGUAGGGAAUCUUCCACAAUGGGCGCAAGCCUGAUGGAGCAACGCCGCGUGAGUGAAGACGGCCUUCGGGUUGUAAAGCUCUGUUGGGCGGGACGAGGGCCCCGCGGACGCGGGGCGGGACGGUACCGCCGGAGGAAGCCCCUGCAAACUACGUGCCAGCAGCCGCGGUAAGACGUAGGGGGCAAGCGUUGUCCGGAAUUACUGGGCGUAAAGGGCGUGUAGGCGGCGCCGUACGUAGCGGUUUUAAGCCUCCGGCUCACCCGGAGGAGGGCGGCUAAACGGCGGGGCUGGAGGGCAGGAGAGGUGCACGGAAUUCCUGGUGGAGCGGUGAAAUGCGUAGAGAUCAGGAAGAACACCCGUGGCGAAGGCGGUGCACUGGCCUGGCCCUGACGCUGAGGCGCGACAGCGUGGGGAGCAAACGGGAUUAGAUACCCCGGUAGUCCACGCCGUAAACGAUGGGUACUAG